rnacentral:rRNA from 1 species
AGUGAACGCUGGCGGUAGGCCUAACACAUGCAAGUCGAACGGCAGCACAGUAAGAGCUUGCUCUUACGGGUGGCGAGUGGCGGACGGGUGAGGAAUACAUCGGAAUCUACUUUUUCGUGGGGGAUAACGUAGGGAAACUUAUGCUAAUACCGCAUACGACCUACGGGUGAAAGCAGGGGAUCUUCGGACCUUGCGCGAUUGAAUGAGCCGAUGUCGGAUUAGCUAGUUGGCGGGGUAAAGGCCCACCAAGGCGACGAUCCGUAGCUGGUCUGAGAGGAUGAUCAGCCACACUGGAACUGAGACACGGUCCAGACUCCUACGGGAGGCAGCAGUGGGGAAUAUUGGACAAUGGGCGCAAGCCUGAUCCAGCCAUACCGCGUGGGUGAAGAAGGCCUUCGGGUUGUAAAGCCCUUUUGUUGGGAAAGAAAAGCAGCAGGUUAAUACCCCGCUGUUCUGACGGUACCCAAAGAAUAGGCACCGGCUAACUUCG